CAACUACAUCUACAUCCCAGUGAUGUUAGGUGUGGUCAUUAUAAUCUCCUCCCCUGGACAGGCUGUAUGAGUAGUCUAUCAGGUACUCCGACUAACAGUAAACUGAUAUACCUCCCAACGGUCAUUGUAAUGGUCUCAAGGAUGCCUUACUUUAGACUCUUGAAGGAAGCAC
rnacentral:lncRNA from 1 species